GGGGAUGAUCGGUUUCGACGGAGGUGGUUGGCUCAGAACUGCAAGCCGAGAGGCGCCGACCUCGCUAAAUCAGCGCAACAAUUAAGUGCCACACGCACUGAAUACGCGGCUCUUCCCCUCGCCGCCUAAGGCAGCGAAGGAUUGAGCUCGGCUCUCAGAUGAGAGCCCGCCCCCUCACACCACCCUUGACCGGUGUGAGGUCAGGUGACAGAGAGUCGAGGUGCCGCGCGGGAUGCCACUCAACGCGCGAAAGAGGAGCUCUCGGGCUCCGGUGGCUAACCUGAAGAACGGCCUGUCGACUGGCGACCUUCAGGCGAAAACCAAUAAGCCGACUAUGCUUGUAGAUGUUCUGUGACUGAAACCUUCGGACGCGGGUUCGAUUCCCGCCAUCUCCACCU
rnacentral:tmRNA from 1 species